UUGGAUCCAGACUUUGAUCAUGGCUCAGGAUGAACGCUAGCUACAGGCUUAACACAUGCAAGUCGAGGGGAAACGAUAUUGGAAGCUUGCUUCCGAUAGGCGUCGACCGGCGCACGGGUGAGUAACGCGCAUCCAACCUGCCCACCACUUGGGGAUAACCUUGCGAAAGUAAGACUAAUACCCAAUGAUAUCUCUAGAAGGCAUCUGAAGGAGAUUAAAGAUUUAUCGGUGAUGGAUGGGGAUGCGUCUGAUUAGCUUGUUGGCGGGGUAACGGUCCACCAAGGCAACGAUCAGUAGGGGUUCUGAGGGGAAGGUCCCCCACAUUGGAACUGAGACACGGUCCAAACUCCUACGGGAGGCAGCAGUGAGGAAUGUUGGUCAAUGGACGAGAGUCUGAACCAGCCAAGUAGCGUGCAGGAUGACGGCCCUAUGGGUUGUAAACUGCUUUUAUAAGGGAAUAAAGUGAGUCUCGUGAGACUUUUUGCAUGUACCUUAUGAAUAAGGACCGGCUAAUUCCGUGCCAGCAGCCGCGGUAAUACGGAAGGUCCGGGCGUUAUCCGGAUUUAUUGGGUUUAAAGGGAGCGUAGGCCGGAGAUUAAGCGUGUUGUGAAAUGUAGACGCUCAACGUCUGCACUGCAGCGCGAACUGGUUUCCUUGAGUACGCACAAAGUGGGCGGAAUUCGUGGUGUAGCGGUGAAAUGCUUAGAUAUCACGAAGAACUCCGAUUGCGAAGGCAGCUCACUGGAGCGCAACUGACGCUGAAGCUCGAAAGUGCGGGUAUCGAACAGGAUUAGAUACCCUGGUAGUCCGCACGGUAAACGAUGGAUGCCCGCUGUUGGUCUGAAUAGGUCAGCGGCCAAGCGAAAGCAUUAAGCAUCCCACCUGGGGAGUACGCCGGCAACGGUGCAACUCAAAGGAAUUGACGGA
rnacentral:rRNA from 1 species